UCAAGCUAUAAAGAAUAUUUUCCUAUCUAUAACAAUGGAUAGAAAUCAAAUUAAUGAAUAAAAAUAAAUUGACUAAUAUGAGGUACCAUUCAAUUAAUAUUUUAAACGUGUACUAAUUAUGUUUAUAGUAUCGAAAAACAUAAGUGUUAUUAGAGCCAGAGUCAGUCGUGAGUCGACUUGGCACGACCGACGCCGGCGCGCAUCUAUCACAUUCAGAGAUUCAUAAAAUACAAUACCUUCGACCUCCAGGUUGUGGUGGAGCCUGGCUAAGAGUUGCAAGGAACGCUGCUUCGCGGGCUUCCUUGGCAGCUCCUUCACCUCGUUCAGAGAGACGGCGUACCUGAUAUAUUGAACAUUUUAUCGACAAAAUAAGAUCAUUUGAUCAUGUGUGGUUAAGAAUAAAAUAAAAUUAAAAUAAUCCUGUUGAACCAUGAGUUACCUGACUAGCAGUCGGUCCACUCGUACAAGCUGGUGUAGGUAAUGAGU